rnacentral:rRNA from 1 species
GAUGAACGCUAGCGGCAGGCCUAAUACAUGCAAGUCGAACGGUAUUAUCCUUCGGGGUAGUAUAGUGGCAAACGGGUGCGUAACGCGUAAAUAACCUGCCCCAAACUGGGGGAUAGCCCGGCGAAAGCUGGGGUAAACCCGCAUAGUUUCAUUUACCCGCAUGGGUUGAGUGAAUAAAGGCUUCGGCUGGUUUGGGAGGGAUUUGCGUCUGAUUAGCUAGUUGGGGGGGUAGUGGCCCACCAAGGCGAUGAUCAGUCGGGGCUCUGAGAGGAGGGUCCCCCACAUGGGCACUGAGACACGGGCCCAACUCCUACGGGAGGCAGCAGUAGGGAAUAUUGGGCAAUGGACGCAAGUCUGACCCAGCCAUGCCGCGUGGAGGAAGACGGCCCUCUGGGUUGUAAACUCCUUUUAUCAGGGAAGAAGAGUAGCGCUGCGGGGCUA